CCUGGCCCGCCCGCCUGCGUCCGCGCAGCGCCCUCCCCCUCGGCCGCGGGGAAAGGAAGGCACACAAUGGGAACAAAGCGGGGCGGGGAGACGCUAAUGAGCGCCGCGCGGGGGGUUUGGGCCUGCGCGGGGAGAGGGAAGGGGGAGAAUCCGGGCAGGACGCGGGGGGGGGAAGCUCCGCCCCUCCCCACCCAGCCCAUUCAGCAAAAAAGCAUCGAGCAGGCCGUGGAGGGAUUUUGUCAUUUGGGGGCAGAGAGAUUGAGCGCGAGCUGGGUCUUAGAAGGGCCGCUGUGGAUUUAUCUGCUGCGGGAAGAGCCCCUUUGCAUUCCUGGACUUAAAUCAUUUCAGCAUAAGGAGAUCAACAGUGGAGUUCAACAGAGGAUGCAUGGCUCUUCUGAGGGCAGAAGUGACUCAGACUUUUGAAGAAGAUAGCUUCAAAUAUCCACUUUGGGGACAAGGUACUCAUGUAACUGGUAGGCUCUCUGCCUGAAAUAUGUUGUUCCCAAGAAAUUCUUCUUCAGUGAUUUAAGAUUGCCUGCAUCUGGAACUAGGUGUGAAAAUGCAUUUCAUCAAACCUUUCCCCCUUCAAGUAUCAGUGUUCAAAGAUCAGAAGAAAAUAAUUCUUUAUAACCUGAGAUGUAAGAGGAGGCAUCAAGAAUAUUCAUUAUAUCUUCUUUAUUGUAUGUGUGAUGUGCCAUUAAGUCAGAAUCCUAGCAGGGCUUUCAAGGUAAGUGAGAUAUUUAAGGAGUGAUUUUACCUGGGUACGUGGUGGCGCUGUGAGCUAAACCGCAGAAGCCUGUGCUGCAGGGUCAGAAGACCAAGCAGUCGUAAGAUCGAAUCCACGUGAGGGAGUAAGCGCCUGUCACUUGUCCCAGCUCCCGCCAACCUAGCAGUUUGAAAGCAUGCAAAUGUGAGUACUGUAGAUAAAUAGGUACCACCACGGUGGGAAGGUAACAGCGUUCCGUGUCUAAGUCGCACUGACCACGUGACUACGGAAGAUUGUCUUCAGACAAAAACGCUGGCUCUAUGGCUUAGAAACGGGGAUGAGCACCACCCCCUAGAGUCGAACACGACUGGACAAAAAUUGUCAAGGGAAACCUUUACCUUUACCUUUAUCUGACCUAAAACGAUAUUUAAGGAGUGGUUUUCCCAGUUCCACACCCCCAGUGAGUUUCCAUAGCUGAGCAGGGAUUUGACUCCUGUUCUCUAGAGUCCUAGCCCGUCGUUCUGUCCACUACACUGCACUGGGCCUUAGCAUAUUCAUUAUUCAUAUCUAACAAAAAAUCCAUAUAUUGCAUUGUCUUUAAAUAAUGCUUAUUACUGUAAUGUCAUUCUGAUUGCUAUAAAUAUGUUGAUUGCUUUGGACAUUUCUGUGUCCCUUAAUUAUUAAUCUGAGGCUUAACAAAAUAACUUUAAUGUGGUAGUGGAGUCAACCUGGAGAUGUAGUUUGGUGCAGAGGCUGAUCUCUGAUAAUCUGCUACCUAAUGUAGGAAAGGCAAUUUUUCUCCACUGUACUCUUCUUGCAUAUUUGUAAAUAAGGUAAUUAUUACAAAAAUGUUAAGGUUCUAGUGAACUUCCAUUCAAAAUAAAUUAACAAUGUAAUCUUAUGCA
rnacentral:lncRNA from 1 species